AUUGAACGUAGGAACUACUUCAGCCGUGGACCAAAUUACACUUGGCAUAUUGAUGGAAAUGACAAAUUGAAAUUCUUUGGAAUCUGGGUACAUCUUGGUAUUGAUGGAUUUUCUAGGAAAAUUAUUUGGCUUAAGGCUGGCACCUCUAACCGACAGCAAACCUUCAUUGCAAGGUACUUCUUUGAUGCCAUUCAGGAACACAGUGGUUGCCCACGAUUCAUAAGAGCAGACAGAGGGAAGGAAAAUCUUCUCGUCGGACAGAUGCAAGUGGCAUUUCACUUCCGGGAGUCUAGUGAUCAAGGAAGAGAUUCCUUCAG